ensembl:lincRNA Gm37267 predicted gene, 37267
CUCUUUCUGCCAAUGGCGGUUGGAACCAGCUCACGAAGAGCUGCCUUUUCCAGUGGGCAGCAGGAGUCCCAGAUGAAUCUGCCAGUCAACUCUUGGGAUGGGGAAUCAGAUCGAGGCUGGCGAGGUGGCUUGUGGGAACGCAGAGAGGUGAGGCUGCCACGCCCACUUGUCAACCGCAAAAGCUUAAUUGGGCCAGAAAUAUUCUCCGGUUCCUGCUUCUGCAAGACAGAUCUCAGCUGUCACCAAGCAUCUGUGGCAUCCGGAAGGGACGAGCAGAGUUCUGUGGGCUGGAAGCUUGGAGAACAGAUGUCCCUCGUCUGUGCCAGUUAUGCACAGAGUGCCCAAUCUUAGCACUCCAGAAGCCCAGUGGAGGCCAAUGAAGGCGCAUGGAAGUUUGAGGCCCCAAGGCGGAAACCAAAUUGUCAGUUUUCUUCACUCAUAGACAGCUGCCUUGGCACUUGGGGAUGAAGCAAUGAAUGGUCCCUGAGCCCAGCCCACAGGCUUGCUGACAAGGUGACCAGCCCAGCACCGAGAAGCAGGCGCCGUGUGAAGCCCCAAGUCAGAUCAGCUUGUGGAGGAGAGUGUGAAACCGGCCAGUGCUUUCACUUCUCUCAGCCCCACGAUGGACUCAUAGACACAGAGCAUGUGCAGGGAAAUGAGGGCUGCAGCCCGAGGAAGCUU